rnacentral:rRNA from 1 species
GACGAACGCUGGCGGCGUGCUUAACACAUGCCAGUCGAACGGAAAGGCCCUGCUUGCCGGGUACUCGAGUGGCGAACGGGUGAGUAACACGUGGGUGAUCUGCCCUGCACUUCGGGAUAAGCCUGGGAAACUGGGUCUAAUACCGGGUAGGAGCCAUUUUUAGUGUGAUGGUUGGAAAGUUUUUUCGGUGUAGGAUGAGCUCGCGGCCUAUCAGCUUGUUGGUGGGGUAAUGGCCUACCAAGGCGGCGACGGGUAGCCGGCCUGAGAGGGUGGACGGCCACAUUGGGACUGAGAUACGGCCCAGACUCCUACGGGAGGCAGCAGUGGGGAAUAUUGCACAAUGGGCGCAAGCCUGAUGCAGCGACGCCGCGUGGGGGAUGACGGCCUUCGGGUUGUAAACUCCUUUCGCUAGGGACGAAGCUUUUUGUGACGGUACCUAGAUAAGAAGCACCGGCUAACUACGUG